AUUGAACGCUAGCGGCAGGCCUAACACAUGCAAGUCGAACGAGCGGCGGACGGGUGAGUAAUGUAUGGGGAUCUGCCCGAUAGAGGGGGAUAACUACUGGAAACGGUGGCUAAUACCGCAUACUAUCGGAUGAACCCAUAUGGGAUUAGCUAGUAGGUGGGGUAAAGGCUCACCUAGGCGACGAUCUCGAGCUGGUCUGAGAGGAUGAACAGGCACACUGGGACUGAGACACGGCCCAGACUCCUACGGGAGGGCGCAGUGGGGAAUAUUUCACAAUGGGCGCAAGCCGGAUGCAGCCAUGCCGCGUGUAUGAAGAAGGCCUUAGGGGUGUAAAGUACUUUCAGCGGGGAGGCGGUACCCGCAGAAGAAGCACCGGCUAACUCCGUGCCAGCAGCCGCGGUAAUUC
rnacentral:rRNA from 1 species